UGGGGAAUUUUGGACAAUGGGGGCAACCCUGAUCCAGCCAUGCCGCGUGAGUGAAGAAGGCCUUCGGGUUGUAAAGCUCUUUCGGCCGGGAAGAAAUCGCUCAAGCUAAUACCUUGGGUGGAUGACGGUACCGGAAGAAGAAGCACCGGCUAACUACGUGCCAGCAGCCGCGGUAAUACGUAGGGUGCGAGCGUUAAUCGGAAUUACUGGGCGUAAAGCGUGCGCAGGCGGCGCCAUAAGACAGAUGUGAAAUCCCCGGGCUUAACCUGGAACUGCGUUUGUGACUGUGGUGCUCGAGUGCGGCAGAGGGGGUGGAAUUCCACGUGUAGCAGUGAAAUGCGUAGAGAUGUGGAGGAACACCGAUGGCGAAGGCAG
rnacentral:rRNA from 1 species